AGAGUUUGAUCAUGGCUCAGAAUGAACGUUGGCGGCGUGGAUUAGGCAUGCAAGUCGAGCGAGAAACUUUUUUUCGGAAAAGUGGACAGCGGCGAAAGGGAGAGUAACGAGUAGAAACGUACCCCGAGGCUCGGAAUAGCAGAGAGAAAUUUCUGGUAAUGCCGAAUAAUGUCUCCGGACCAAAGGUUUACCACCUGGGGAGCGGUCUGCUUUCUAUUAGCUUGUUGGUGGGGUAAUGGCCUGCCAAGGCGAAGAUGGAUACCGGGCGUGAGAGCGUGACCCGGCUCACUGGGACUGAGACACUGCCCAGACACCUACGGGUGGCUGCAGUCGAGAAUCUUCCGCAAUGGACGAAAGUCUGACGGAGCGACGCCGCGUGCUGGAUGAAGGCCUUCGGGUUGUAAACAGCUGUCAUAGGGGAGGAAAUUUUGACCGAUCCUAAGAGGAAGCACAGGCUAAGUUCGUGCCAGCAGCCGCGGUAACACGAACUGUGCGAACGUUAUUCGGAAUCACUGGGCUUAAAGGGUGCGUAGGCGGUCUUGUAGGUCAGAUGUGAAAGCCCACGGCUCAACCGUGGAAUUGCGUUUGAAACCACAAGACUUGAGUGAGAUAGAGGUAAGCGGAACUGAUGGUGGAGCGGUGAAAUGCGUUGAUA
rnacentral:rRNA from 1 species